CCGAUGAUAGCUCAGUUGGUAGAGCGGCAGACUGUAGUUGCAAUGGUUAUCUGUUGGUCACCGGUUCGAUUCCGGUUCAUCGGAUA
rnacentral:tRNA from 1 species